UACGAAGGGGGCUAGCGUUACUCGGAUUGACUGGGCGUAAAGGGCGCGUAGGCGGUUUGUUGCGUCGGCUGUGAAAUCCCGAGGCUCAACCUCGGGUCUGCAGUCGAUACGAGCAAACUAGAGUGUUGCAGGGGAGACUGGAAUUCCUGGUGUAGCGGUGAAAUGCGCAGAUAUCAGGAGGAACACCGGUGGCGAAGGCGGGUCUCUGGGCAACAACUGACGCUGAGGAGCGAAAGCGUGGGGAGCGAACAGG
rnacentral:rRNA from 1 species